CAGGACUAGAGGGCUCCAGAAGGGCUUCUGAGAAGAAGAAGGGUGUGCCCAGGUGAGAGAAGAGCAAUGGAGUCUUGCCAGAUUCUUGCUGGUAUAUAUACAGAUUGAAAACCAAGGUGCUAUAGAAUUCAAGAUCUGACAGGAGCUGGGGAAACAACAUGUCUGGGAUACAAAAGAAACCAAGGCUGCUGUCCUGCUACCUCUGUAUGGAUAGCAAGGAACAGGCAGAACCUUUUAAAAUGGAUCAAAAGGACUUCACACCUUUUAAUCCCUUAAUCGCUAAAAGGGAAAGUGAGAAAUUACUUCUAACCACAAAACCAGAAAUAUUUGAAGUACUUUCACUUUUACUGAUUGUGUGCUUCCAAAGAGUGACCAUUGGGUGAUUUUUGGCAAUUCCUCCCCUUCCUCAGUUUCCCCAUUUGCUUCUAUGAGGGGAAAUGGCUAAAAAUGGCAUCAUUUUACAAAUUCUGAAAUUAAAUAAAUUUCAAUAUUUUAGAAUUAAUUCUGACUUUACUGACCUGAUUUUAGGGGGGGGGGCGGGAUCAGAUUAGGAUUUUACUGGGUUUUUACCAAUUUGGGGCAACUUCUGAUAAAAUCCAAAUUUUUGAAUCUCAAUUUGCAAAGGCCUAAUGCUUAUUAAGCUGGUAUUUGCUAACAGAAGUAUUCUUUCAAAUAUUUCUGGAAACAUUCACUUAUCUUCAACAAUUCUGUAUCCAACUGAUUAAUUUGAAAUAGUGACAAGAAACAAUCUUUCCUUGAAACCAAGAUUGCAUCUAGUCAAUAUAUAAUUUUGUAUCCAUUCAAAGACUGGAGACCUCAUUUUUCUGCUAUUUGAUAUCUAAUUGAAAAGUGUAAGGGUUUUUUGUAAGUCCUACACUUUUAU